AGUGAACGCUGGCGGUGGGCCUAACACAUGCAAGUCGAACGGCAGCACAGUAAGAGCUUGCUCUUACGGGUGGCGAGUGGCGGACGGGUGAGGAAUACAUCGGAAUCUACUUUUUCGUGGGGGAUAACGUAGGGAAACUUACGCUAAUACCGCAUACGACCUACGGGUGAAAGCAGGGGAUCUUCGGACCUUGCGCGAUUGAAUGAGCCGAUGUCGGAUUAGCUAGUUGGCGGGGUAAAGGCCCACCAAGGCGACGAUCCGUAGCUGGUCUGAGAGGAUGAUCAGCCACACUGGAACUGAGACACGGUCCAGACUCCUACGGGAGGCAGCAGCGGGGAAUAUUGGACAAUGGGCGCAAGCCUGAUCCAGCCAUACCGCGUGGGUGAAGAAGGCCUUCGGGUUGUAAAGCCCUUUUGUUGGGAAAGAAAAGCAGCAGGUUAAUACCCCGCUGUUCUGACGGUACCCAAAGAAUAAGCACCGGCUAACUUCGUG
rnacentral:rRNA from 1 species